GGGGUGCAGCAGGCGCGAAAACUUUACAAUGCUGGCAACAGCGAUAAGGGGACCUCGAGUGCCAGGAUACAAUCUUGGCUGUCGUAAUGCCUAAAAAGCAUUGCAUAGCAAGGGCCGGGCAAGACCGGUGCCAGCCGCCGCGGUAACACCGGCGGCUCGAGUGGUAACCGCUAUUAUUGGGUCUAAAGGGUCUGUAGCCGGCCGGAUAAGUCUCUUGGGAAAUCCAGCUGCUUAACAGUUGGGCUUUCAGGAGAUACUGUUCGGCUCGAGACCGGGAGAGGUGAGAGGUACUUCAGGGGUAGGGGUGAAAUCUUGUAAUCCUUGAAGGACCACCAGUGGCGAAGGCGUCUCACCAGAACGGAUCUGACGGCAAGGGACGAAAGCUAGGGGCACGAACCGGAUUAGAUACCCGGGUAGUCCUAGCCGUAAACGAUACUCGCUAGGUGUCAGCCACGGUGCGACCGUGGUUGGUGCCGUAGGGAAGCCGUGAAGCGAGCCACCUGGGAAGUACGGCCGCAAGGCUGAAACUUAAAGGAAUUGGC
rnacentral:rRNA from 1 species